GAAAGCAAUCAAGCUAGACAAAGAUCUUACCUUUAUAUACACGCUCAAGUCAUUUUGCUAUGAUGGUGUAUUUUAAAUUGGAAAGAUUCCUUGUGUACAUUCAAAUGUCAUAUUAGAAAAAUCGGUUAAAAAUUGAAUAAAAAAAAAAUUACUGCCAAAGAUAUUGGAUCUGAAAAUUUUCGUUAGCAAAUUAUCUGUACCAGCGAUAUUCGAACCCAUGCUUAUAGACAUCUUACAGCACCGCCA
rnacentral:lncRNA from 1 species